rnacentral:lncRNA from 1 species
CCUUGUGAUUUGCCUGCCUCAGCCUCCCAAAGUGCUGGGAUAACAGGCGUGAGCCACCACGCCCAGCUUCAAAAGUUUUCAACAGAGCUCAGAGGUCUUAACCACAGGCACAUCCGAGGAGCAUUUUUGAAAUGGUUUCCAGCUUCCUCAAUAGGAAUGGAAGCCAAACCCGGAACUGAUGGCUCCUUGGAGGAAGUCGAGAGCUGUAAGGAAAGCCAGGAACAGGGGCAAGGGAGAGAUGCAUCCCGAAUGAUCCUGUGCCAAUUCUUUCUGGAAUCUUUGAUGUGAUCUCCGCUGCCCUUUCCAUACUUGACACAGUGAUUGUGGCACCCACUGGUCUAGCUGUGGUCUACAAGGAACCCCCAAAGGGAAGGGCACAGUGAGCAGGGGCAUCGGCCUGAGUGACAAGGAUUGGAGGGGGCAGGUUGGAUGCAGGGAGAGGACUGGCCAAAUGCCAUGUGUCUGGCUUAGACUACCUUGUUCAAAUUGGGCUUCACCAUUUUUGACUUCGUGAUCUGGUACAAGUUAUAUGAAAAUGUGUUGCUCCUUUUCUAGUCUGUAAAAUCAUAAGGAAAUGUGCACUAAUAACUGGGAGACUAUGCAGAUGAAAUGAAACAAGCUGCAUAGAACACAGAGCUCAGAGCCUGGCCUUUAGGAAGCCCUCAGUAAGGGUUCAUGAUGCCAUGGUGUCUGUCAUCAUCCUCUUUAUCCUCAUCAUCACCUUCAUCAUCUUUUUGUUGUUCUGAGGGCAUACUUUAGAGGGACUCAUUCCCUGCUCUCAUGGGUGAGAUGUCUAUGAAGAGGACAACCAGUGGGGGAGGGAAGCAAAAUUUUGAAGAAGAUUCCUGAGAGAGAUCCCCCACCACAACCAAGAACAGAAACUCCACAGUCUGCUGAGCUGACAGUUUGCACAUUGGUCUCCUCCCAUCUGCCCACGGCACUCUCCCGUUUGUCCUGAAGAUGAGGAAACAAACAAGGCUCCCGACCGUCCCUCAGCACUCACUGAACGGCCCUUCCCCUCUGCUGGGCCAUGACCACGGAGAACAGGUCCACUGUCCUCCCUGAGUGGUGCACAUGGGAGGCUCAGACUCCGUCCUCAAGGCUGGUAAGAAGACAGGGUGAGACAUGAGCCUCCUGAUACAGGUGACGGGUGUGGAGCCCACAGGACUGCAACCUCACACUGCAGGGCUGGAGGCACAGACUGAGUAUUUCCUAUUCUAUGGCCUGGGGGGCUCAAGGCACAGAGCUCCUCAUUAGCCAGAGUCGCCCAUGUUCCCCAUGCUCUAAGGAUUUCCUCAUCAUCAUGCAAGAAGAAGAAUAGAAAAAAGGAAGAGGAAGAAACAAAAGGAACUUCUCUCUUAGAUUUAAUUCUGACCUACCAGGAAGAACUGGAUUGUUGAAGCAGAAGUACUGGAGUCUCUGGAGCUAAAACCAAGGAUAAGAACAUUAAGAUUAUCCUGCUGGAGAGAGAGGCCAUGCGGAAGAACCCUGGAAAAUGAGACAGCUCACAGAGCAAGAGGCCAUGUGGAGAAGGCCUAGAAGUAAAAUGCCUCAUGGAACAAGAGGCCACAUGCAGAAGGCCUGGAGGAUGAGACGCCCUGUGAAGUGAGAGGCCACGUGGAGAAGGCCUAGAGGAGGAGACACCUUAUGGAGCAAGAGGCCGAAUGGAGAAGCCCCAGAGGGUUAGACACCUUGUGGAGCAAGAGGUCACACGCAGAAGUCCUGGGAGUGAGAUGCCUCACGAAGCGAGAUGCCUCGUGAAGCGAGAUGCCUCGUGGAGUGAGAGGCCAUGUGGAAGAACCCUGGAACUCAGCGGCUGAUAACACAAAGAUCCCAUGGUGUGAGAGAGGCCUUCAUGAACUUCCCGUCCAGCCCAGCUAGAGCCAAAUGGAGCCAUAUGUGUGACCGCAAGUGACAUCUACAAAAGAACGACCCAGUCACCCUGAGAAUUGUUAGAAAUGCAAAGCACUAAGUUUUGGGGUAGUUUGUUACACAGCAAUAGCUAACUGAUACAGAUGGUUUGAAUUACUUGACUUUAAAGUUCCUUCUUACCCUGAAAGUUUAUGGCUUAGUAAAGUGAAUUAAGCACAUUUGACUGAAACAGAGAGAUGGUGUAGGAAAAGAUCAGAAGGUAAGGGCAGGGCAAGGUGAGGAAGGCUUUCCGUGCCACGAUAAGGAAUUUGAGCUUUAACUGGUAGGUUCUGAAGCUGUCCCAGGAGGAAGUGACAUGAGAAGAUAGUUUUUUAGGAAGACCCACACUGCAGCAGCAUGUAGAUCAGACACGUGGGCACACAGAGCAGAUGUGAGAGAGAAGGAGGCAUGGAGACCUGAUUGCUGAGGCAAAAAGAUGCAGCUGACAAUUAUGGAGCAACAAGCUACUGAAUACAGAAUUGAACAUUCAGUCUUCAAGACACAGAUGUAAGCUGCUUUCUCUGUAUCAGCCUUCUCUGUAUCAACUCUUCAUUUUUUCCAACUAUGAUGUUUUUACUUUCAAAAAUCCAUGGGAGAAUACAUGGUAUGUCGUUAAAAGCCUGGGAUUUGAAAUAAGAAAGCCUUAGCUUUAAACCCCUUCUCUCACCUUCUAGCUGUGUAACUCUGGGCAAGUUACUGAACCUUGCUGUAUCGCAGCUUCUUCAUUUGUAAAAUGGAUAUAAUGAUAUUUGUCUCACAGGAGUAAUGCAAAGAUAAAAACGGAUUAUGUCUCAUGCAUUUACUUUUACUAAAUGGCUAAAUGCUCAAGCAACACAAAUACAUGAUUAUUUCUCUUUCACGUAACAGUCCAGGUUGGGAGUGUCAGGUUGAGGGGUGGAUCUUUUUCACAUCUUCUUGAAAGAAUUCGUGGUAAAAGCUGUCUUCAGUUUAUGCCUUCCAAGGUUCUUUUGGCCAUCGCCAUUCCAGAAAGAAGAGGAGAAGAGAGCAUGAAGGAGCCCGCCUAACAUGUUUUAUCUGGCUUCUCAGAAAUGGCACAUGCUUCUACUUGCAUUCCAUUGGCAAGAACACACGGCACACCAGCUGCCCACGGGGAUAGGGAAUCCCAGCUAGAAUUCCAUCCAAUAGAAGACAGAGGGGAGAGAAGAGCAGGGUAUUGGUAUCCACGCAAUUCAUCCAUUUAUUCCUCAAGCAUGUGUUAAGCGUUUGGCGAUGCUUCACGAUGUUGGACUCUGGACAUUCACAGAAGAUGAACACAUCUCACAAAAGAUCUGGAUUUUGUCUGGAAACUCAAGUAUAAGACCUAGCACCACUUGCCAAGGACCUCUGCUUUGCUUUGGUAGGCCAAGGGUCUGGCUCUGUUACCCAGGCUGGAUUGCAGUGG